CACAUACUCCCUCCGUUCCGAAUUACUUGUCCUGGAUUUGUCUAGAUACGGAUGUAUCUAGACUCAUUUUAGUGCUAGAUACCUCCGUAUCUAGACAAAUCUAAGACAAGUAAUUCGGAACGGAGGGAGUAUAUA
rfam:Triticum urartu cultivar G1812 contig574082, whole genome shotgun sequence.